rnacentral:rRNA from 1 species
GACGAACGCUGGCGGCGUGCUUAACACAUGCAAGUCGAACGGAAAGGCCCUGCUUUUGUGGGGUGCUCGAGUGGCGAACGGGUGAGUAACACGUGAGUAACCUGCCCUUGACUUUGGGAUAACUUCAGGAAACUGGGGCUAAUACCGGAUAGGAGCUCCUGCUGCAUGGUGGGGGUUGGAAAGUCUCGGCGGUUGGGGAUGGACUCGCGGCUUAUCAGCUUGUUGGUGGGGUAGUGGCUUACCAAGGCUUUGACGGGUAGCCGGCCUGAGAGGGUGACCGGCCACAUUGGGACUGAGAUACGGCCCAGACUCCUACGGGAGGCAGCAGUGGGGAAUAUUGCACAAUGGGCGGAAGCCUGAUGCAGCAACGCCGCGUGCGGGAUGACGGCCUUCGGGUUGUAAACCGCUUUCGCCUGUGACGAAGCGUGAGUGACGGUAAUGGGCAAAGAAGCACCGGCUAACUACGUG